UAAGAGCUUACCAAGGCGAUCAUCGGUUGCUGGUCUGAGAGGACGAUCAGCCCCACUGGGAUUGACAACGGCCCAGACUCCUGCGGGGGGCAGCAGUGAGGAAUUUUCCGCAAUGGACGAAAUUCUGACGGAGCAACGCCGCGUGCAGGAGGACGCUUUUCGGGGUGUAUACUGUUUUUCCCAGGGAAGAGAGCGGACGGUACCUGAAGAAGACGCCCCUGCUAACUACCUGCCAGCAGCCGCGGUAAUACGUAGGGGGCGAGCGUUGUCCGGAGUUACUGGGCGUAAAGGGCAUGCAGGCGGUCGUACGCGUUUUGUGUGACAGCGGGUGGCUUAACUACCCGAGUCUGCGAAAGACGGUACGACUUGGAGGGCUCGAAAGCAGACACAGUAUUGCCGGGUGGAGUGGUGAAAAUG
rnacentral:rRNA from 1 species